AUUCUAUACCUGAAGCCAUCAGGUGAUGCACAGCACCAUAAUCUUAAGCUCUGUGAUGCUUAUGCUCAUUUCACAGGAAAAACUGAAGUACAGAGCAGUGAUGUCACUUGCCUAGAAGGCUGCAAGCCUCACUCACCAUCCUGAAGCCCAUUUGAGUGGCAGUGCUUUCAUAAAGAAGGCUUGUGGGACGGAGUAACAGAAUAAGGCCUGCAAGAACAUGGUUGUUUUGAAAUGAAUCCGUACAGCCCACUGACUUCUGGAAGGUUUAAAAAUAUGUUCUUGUGUUUUCUGAAUACUGGAUAUAAUAAUGUAUAAAGCUAAAGAUGUCCACAGAUGCUUCUUAUUAUAUUGAAGAACUACUGCACAGUGACUCAGCUCUGAAGACACACAAAAAUAUCAAAAUUCAAAUCUAGUUCUUGUAUUUAACUGUAAUUCAAAACUUCUCAUAUUAUUUGUGAAAUGAUACUAUAAAUAAUACAACAGAAUAUCAAAUAUAAAAAUACGAAGGAUACAACUGCAAAUAAAACUCUAAUAUAAAAG
rnacentral:lncRNA from 1 species